UCACUCAACCGGAUGAUCGCCCCCGCAACGCGGGGGAGGAAAGUCCGAGCACCAUGCUCCCAAUUGAUUGGAGCAAGGGCAGUUCGUAACACGAACCAUCCCGCCAUAAAGGCGGGAGCGGGAAAGUAGCACAGAAACAAAACCGCUUCUUUCAAAUUUUGUCGCUUGAUUUAUCAAGCGCUUACGGCAAAAUUAAGAUGCAAGGGUGAAAAGAGUGGGGUAAGAGCCCACAGCUUGGAGUAGUGAUGCUCCAAGGUGCUAAACCCUGCCUGGUGUAAGGCCAAGUAGGCCUCCUGUAACACGGGAGGCGGGUUGGCUGCUUGAACCCCCGCGUAAGCGGGGGUCCAGAGAGAUGAUCGUCACUCCGACGUUCAAUCGGAGUACAGAACUCGGCUUAUAGGUUGAGUGAGCAA
rnacentral:RNase_P_RNA from 1 species